rnacentral:rRNA from 2 species
GACUGAUUAGAAGCUUGCUUCUAUGACGUUAGCGGCGGACGGGUGAGUAACACGUGGGCAACCUGCCUGUAAGACUGGGAUAACUUCGGGAAACCGAAGCUAAUACCGGAUAGGAUCUUCUCCUUCAUGGGAGAUGAUUGAAAGAUGGUUUCGGCUAUCACUUACAGAUGGGCCCGCGGUGCAUUAGCUAGUUGGUGAGGUAACGGCUCACCAAGGCAACGAUGCAUAGCCGACCUGAGAGGGUGAUCGGCCACACUGGGACUGAGACACGGCCCAGACUCCUACGGGAGGCAGCAGUAGGGAAUCUUCCGCAAUGGACGAAAGUCUGACGGAGCAACGCCGCGUGAGUGAUGAAGGCUUUCGGGUCGUAAAACUCUGUUGUUAGGGAAGAACAAGUACGAGAGUAACUGCUCGUACCUUGACGGUACCUAACCAGAAAGCCACGGCUAACUACGUGCCAGCACC